rnacentral:rRNA from 1 species
CAAGUCGCACGAGAAAGUGGAGCAAUCCAUGAGUAAAGUGGCGUACGGGUGAGUUAACACGUGAACUUAACCUUACCUUUCGAGUGGGGAAUAACUUCGGGAAACCGAGGCUAAUACCGCAUAACAUCUUUUGGUUGAGAUACCGAUUGAUCAAACCAGUAAUGGGCUUGAAGAGGGGGUCGCGGCUGAUUAGCUAGUUGGUGGGGUAACGGCCCACCAAGGCGAUGAUCAGUAGCCGGCCUGAGAGGGCGCACGGCCACACUGGAACUGAAACACGGUCCAGACUCCUACGGGAGGCAGCAGUGGGGAAUUUUGCGCAAUGGGGGAAACCCUGACGCAGCAACGCCGCGUGGAGGAUGAAGUCCCUUGGGACGUAAACUCCUUUCGAUCGGGACGAUUAUGACGGUACCGGAAGAAGAAGCCCCGGCUAACUUCGUGCCAGCAGCCGCGGUAAUACGAGGGGGGCAAGCGUUGUUCGGAAUUAUUGGGCGUAAAGGGCGCGUAGGCGGUGCGGUAAGUCUGAUGUGAAAUCUCCGGGCUCAACUCGGAGUCUGCAUCAGAAACUGCCGUGCUCGAGUGUGGGAGAGGUGAGUGGAAUUCCCGGUGUAGCGGUGAAAUGCGUAGAUAUCGGGAGGAACACCUGUGGCGAAAGCGGCUCACUGGACCACAACUGACGCUGAGGCGCGAAAGCUAGGGGAGCAAACAGGAUUAGAUACCCUGGUAGUCCUAGCCCUAAACGAUGAUCGCUUGGUGUGACAGGUACCCAAUCCUGUCGUGCCGGAGCUAACGCGUUAAGCGAUCCGCCUGGGGAGUACGGUCGCAAGGCUGAAACUCAAAGGA